GGAUUUAAAAUUUAAUCCAAAGUCUACCAAAGUCAACAGGCGUCUUCCUGCUAACUGUAAUGCGUUUUGGAUUAGGUCAUAUUGUC